UCUGGAGGGUCCAAACUCAAACCUAACAUUCUUGAGGUACUACAAGCCUUAGGAGAGAAGCCAUUUGCCAUAAAAUGUCCAAAAUACAUUUGAAGUGAUGAUCAUCAUCAAUGGCUUUGGGUGAAGGUUGUCUGUAAUUGCCAAGUCAACAUUUACCGAGCCAAUAUCUGGUGCCUCUCACAAGCUGAAGAAUAUAUAGAAAAACCAACAUUCGUCCCAUUUGAUCUUGCAGCUACCAGACUUGUGUUGGACAAGGAGCCUUGCCCUGUAUUACUCAAACUGGAGCGGUGGAGGUAGAGUCCGGGGAUAUUUUCACUAUCUGUGUUCUUCCCAGAAUUCCUAUAUGGCCUGGAGGUAGACUCCGGAGAUAUUAAAAUUUCACUGUCGUGUUCUUCCAAGAAUUCCCUUAGAGUCUGGAGCAGAGCAAACCACCAGAAUAGUCUGUAAUGGAACCUUAGUUUUUUCUCAUGGAUAAUUUUGACAAUUUUAUUGUAUUAUUGUACAGAUGGCAUUUUCUAGGGUUAAGGAAAUUCAGUGUAGCAUUGUACUGACAUUUUUAUGAAUUAUCUUCGGUUACGAAAAUUUAAUUUUGUAUUGUUUACUUGAUAUUUUCUAGGAUUUAUCUGGAGAUAUAGAAAUUAAUGCAUUAUUGUAUUAUACUUUAUAUGAUUUAUUUGGGUUAUUUUAAUUAUUCAACUGUAUAACUCUC